UACGUAGGGGGCAAGCGUUGUCCGGAAUCAUUGGGCGUAAAGAGCGUGUAGGCGGCUUGGUAAGUCCGCUGUGAAAGUCCAGGGCUCAACCCUGGAAUGCCGGUGGAAACUGUCAAGCUUGAGUCCGGAAGAGGCGAGUGGAAUUCCUGGUGUAGCGGUGAAAUGCGCAGAUAUCAGGAGGAACACCAAUGGCGAAGGCAGCUCGCUGGGACGGUACUGACGCUGAGACGCGAAAGCGUGGGGAGCAAACAG
rnacentral:rRNA from 1 species